CUCUUCAAAAAAAUACUUCAAGACAAAGUUUAAACUCCAUCUGUCUGGUUUCCCCAGGCACUGCACAGGCUCGCAGCGGCUGGAGGAGGCUGGGAGUCUGUCUUGACAUUUUUACUCUUCCUCCUUGAACAGAGCCGUCCUCCGACCCUUCCUGUCUCCUUGUUGCGUCCUCCUCACAUCCAGAGAGGCAAAGAUGGCUGCAGCCACCCAAGGACCCAAGCAGCAGAGCGGCUGCCUGAGGGAGGGCUUGGUGUCCAGCAGAGCCCGAAGGCGCCUGCUGCUGGGAGCAGUGUCUCCGGGCCUGUGGCACAUCAGGAGGAGUCUCUGGAGGGGCCUGGCACAGAGC
rnacentral:lncRNA from 1 species